AUUGAACGCUGGCGGCAGGCCUAACACAUGCAAGUCGAGCGCGCGGCGGACGGGUGAGAAAUGUAUGGGGGAUGCGCGAUAGAGGGGGAUAACUACUGGAAACGGUAGAUCAUACCGCAUACUCUAGGAUAACCCCUAUGGGAUUGGCUAGUAGGUGAGGUAAUGGCGCACCAAGGCGACGAUCCCUAGCUGGUCUGAGAGGGUGAGCAGCCACACUGGAACUGAGACACGGCCCAGACUCCUACGGAGGCAGCAGUGGGGAAUAUUGCACAAUGGGCGCAAGCCUGAUGCAGCCAUGCCGCGUGUAUGAAGAAGGCCUUAGGGUUGUAAAGUACUUUCAGUCGGGAGGCGUUACCCACAGAAGAAGCACCGGCUAACUCCGUGCCAGCAGCCGCGGUAAUAC
rnacentral:rRNA from 1 species